UAAAUUGAGAGUUUGAUCCUGGCUCAGGAUGAACGCUGGCGGCGUGCUUAACACAUGCAAGUCGAGCGAUGAAGUUUCCUUCGGGAAACGGAUUAGCGGCGGACGGGUGAGUAACACGUGGGUAACCUGCCUCAUAGAGUGGAAUAGC
rnacentral:rRNA from 1 species